rnacentral:rRNA from 1 species
UAGCCGGACUGAGAGGUUGACCGGCCACAUUGGGACUGAGAUACGGCCCAGACUCCUACGGGAGGCAGCAGUGGGGAAUAUUGGGCAAUGGGCGCAAGCCUGACCCAGCAACGCCGCGUGAAGGAAGAAGGCUUUCGGGUUGUAAACUUCUUUUAAUGGGGAAGAGCAGAAGACUGUACCCAUAGAAUAAGCCACGGCUAACUACGUGCCAGCAGCCGCGGUAAUACGUAGGUGGCAAGCGUUGUCCGGAUUUACUGGGUGUAAAGGGCGUGCAGCCGGGAAUGCAAGUCAGAUGUGAAAUCCAUGGGCUUAACCCAUGAACUGCAUUUGAAACUGUAUUUCUUGAGUACUGGAGAGGCAAUCGGAAUUCCUAGUGCAGCGGUGAAAUGCGUAGAUAUUAGGAGGAACACCAGUGGCGAAGGCGGAUUGCUGGACAGCAACUGACGGUGAGGCGCGAAAGUGUGGGGAGCAAACAGGAUUAGAUACCCUGGUAGUCCACACUGUAAACGAUGAAUACUAGGUGUGCGGGGACUGACCCCCUGCGUGCCGCAGUUAACACAAUAAGUAUUCCACCUGGGGAGUACGAUCGCAAGGUUGAAACUCAAAGGAAUUGACGGGGGCCCGCACAAGCGGUGGAUUAUGUGGUUUAAUUUGAAGCAACGCGAAGAACCUUACCAGGUCUUGACAUCCCGAUGACCGCUUCUUAAUCGAAGCUUUUCUUCGGAACAUCGGAGACAGGUGGUGCAUGGUUGUCGUCAGCUCGUGUCGUGAGAUGUUGGGUUAAGUCCCGCAACGAGCGCAACCCCUAUUUUCAGUAGCCAGCAUUUUGGAUGGGCACUCUGGAGAGACUGCCCGGGAUAACCGGGAGGAAGGUGGGGAUGACGUCAAAUCAUCAUGCCCCUUAUGAUCUGGGCUACACACGUGCUACAAUGGCUGUUACAGAGAGAAGCGAAUCCGCGAGGAAGAGCAAACCUCAAAAAGGCAGUCUCAGUUCGGAUUGUAGUCUGCAACUCGACUACAUGAAGCUGGAAUCGCUAGUAAUCGCGAAUCAGAAUGUCGCGGUGAAUACGUUCCCGGGUCUUGUACACACCGCCCGUCACACCAUGGGAGUUGGAAAUGCCCGAAGUCAGUGACCCAACCGCAAGGAGGGAGCUGCCGAAGGCAGGUUCGAUGACUGGAGUGAAGUCGUAACAAGGUAGCCGUACUAGUACGCAUA